rnacentral:rRNA from 1 species
ACGCUCGACACCUACGGGGGGCAGCAGUGGGGAAUAUUGCACAAUGGGGGAAACCCUGAUGCAGCGACGCCGCGUGAGCGAAGAAGUAUUUCGGUAUGUAAAGCUCUAUCAGCAGGGAAGAAAAUGACGGUACCUGACUAAGAAGCCCCGGCUAACUACGUGGCAGCAGCCGCGGUAAUCUGAGCGGGCUGGCAAGGC